rnacentral:ncRNA from 2 species
CCCACUCGUUAGGGGUGCCAACCGCAAAACUUGGCUGAGAAUUACCCUUCGAACCUGACCGGGUCAUGCCGUCGUAGGGAAACGAACUCUGUCGUUG